rnacentral:rRNA from 1 species
GGCUGCGGCCAUGCCACCCUGAACAAGCCUCUCCUGUCUGAUCUCGGAAGCUAAGCAGGGUCGGGCCUAGUUAGUGCUUGGAUGGGAGACCACUUAGGAAGACCAAGUGCUGCAGGUG